GGUGCAGAGGUAGUUCUUGAAAACAUCCAGAGUGGUUUCCAUAGCGCUGAAUCUCGUGGCUUCUUGUUCCCUGUGGACUCCUCUCUGUCACGUUUGCUCUGGUUUGGACCAGAGCCGGAGAGUGGCCGAGCCUAUCGUCACCGCAACGUGAGGGUCAGCCCUUGUCUUUGCAAUAACUGUCCUCAUCUUUUGCCCCGAGGCACACGUUUCCCAGACGGACGGAGUGCUGAAAAGAAAGAGUGAUUCAGACAGCCUAAAUGAAGACCCAUAUUUGCGAUUGGAUCACACACAGGCACGUUCAAGCCCCGAUACAUGGAUCCUGUCUGAUUGCCUUGUGAAUUUUGUCAUAGCUUCAUACAGUGGGAAUGAGUGUGGACCCUGCUCGGGAGGAAGAAGCGAGAGCCGAGUGUAUGCAGGCAAAGUAGGAACCACACUGCACACACAUGCCACAUUGUGGGUACAACAGCCCCACAUUUCCUCCUUCUUCUUUUUUUCAACUUGAUUAUUUAAAGUUUAUUUAUUUUUGAGAGAGGUGGGCGUGGGGCUAGGGACAGAGGGAGAUUGGGAAUCCACAGCGGUGCAGAGCCCAACGUGGGACUUCAUCCCAUGAGCCAUGAGAUCACGAUCUGAGCUGAAAUCAAGAGUUGGAUGCUUAACCAACUGAGUCACCCAGACGCCCCAUGCUUCUUUCUUUUAAGUAUCAGGGACAGCUUGUCACACAGAUUCACCUAAGCCACAGCAUCAAUUUAGGGUUGUGACUCAGGACCCCCGUAAACACACGUAUUGUUGACAGUCAUCAGGCGUGUCCCAAAAGCAGUAUUGUUUUGUCAGGGCGGCCCUAACAAAAUACCAUACAUGGGGUGGCUUAACCGCCAGGAAUUUACUUUCUCACAGUUCUGGAGGCGGGAAGUCCAAGAUCAAGUCCAAGUUCCGUGGCUCAAGGCCCGAGAUGAAGCUGGCAGUGGGUUUGGUCUGCAGCCUUUCUCCUGAGCUGCAAGAUGGCUGCCUUCUUGCUCUGUCAUCGCACGGUCUUCUUUCUGCGCACGUCUGUGUCCUAAUUUUCUCGUCUUCUAAGAACACCAGUCAUAUUUGUUUAGAACCCACCUUAAGGACCUUCUUUGGACUUAAUCACCUCUUUAAAGAGCCCAUUUCCAAACAUAGUCACAUUCUGAGAUGUUGGGAGUGAGGGCUUCGACAUACAGAUUUUGGGGGGAUGCAAUUCAGCCCAUAACAAAAGAGUAACAACACAUACAGAAGUCUAAUGCUUUGUCCUUCAUUUACGUGGUUUUGUUAGUGACCUUUAUUUAAUAUAAUAUGGACUUUGCUUUUUUUUUGUUUUCUGCCAAUAGCCAUUACAGAUUUACCCUUACUUUCUUUUCUAUAUCAGAUUGUCAGCUAACAAAAGAAUUGCGUCUUGGUGUCCCUCCCAGGACCCAACACGAUGUUUGACAAAUAAACGUUCAAGAACGGUCGCCGGUUC